ACAGCAGCAACUGUUCAAAGAUCUCCAAGAUAGCCGUGAUCGUCGGGAUCACUGUACCGCUUGCAGUCCUGCUCAUCGUCGGUGUGAUCCUACUGGUGUGGCGCAAUUGCAGGAGAACACCGCUGCAUGACAGUUAUUUUGUGAACAAAGACGGCACAUAUGAAGACACUGUUGAAAUUUUGGAUGUGAAAAAAAUCGAUUUUGACAAAGUUGAUACCACUACAUCAGUGAAAAUUAGAAGACCUGAGCUUGUAUAAGCGAUGACGAAGCACCACUAAAUGCACAUGUAUGAUAUUCCGUGUUCAUAUGAAUAUAUUGUACACUUUCAGUAAUCUUACGAACAAACUCGAGUUGCUUGAUAUUAAACAAUAAGUUAGAUGUGUGGAAAUUAUUUUUUUUACGUGGUUGUUUUGGAGGUCAGACUAACGAACUGGCUCUGCUGCGAUUGUGGAUUCAAAUCCAGGGAUCUGUCUGUGAUUAAAACGGGUUGUGAGAUGAUGGACGAUGCCCAGUCAUCAAUGACUGCAUUAAUAUCUAUCACGUGAUAUUUUAUGCUGCAUUUAAUUUUGGCUCAAUUGCAUAUCUGAGAAUAUAUAUACCCGUUUGUCUAAGAUUUUAUAAAUAUGGAAGAAUAAUGCUCUGUGCUAAUCGGACCAGAGAUCACUUGAAGAGAUCUCAGCAUUCUGUAAAAUCCGUCAUAUUCUGCCACAGUGGAACGCACCGCUCUGUCAAAGAUCUGAAUGGAUUUUUAAUCUCAUGACAAGACACCAAUAACACAAUUGUAAUAAAAUUGUGUUAAAACCCCUACAAAAUAAUGAAUAGCUUCAUGUUAUAUAAUUGUACUAUAUUACUGUCUUAUAUACAUUUAUGAAUAAUAUUAAAAAUGUACAAUACAAUGCAUGUUACAUAUAUUUAUUAAAACAGAUACUGUUUUUUAAAUAAUUGUUUUCUAAGUUAACUAGGUAUAUUUUGCUAAUUUAAAAUUAUGAAACUGUAAUUAUAUAAAAUGUGUGUAUUAUAUACAGAUACAACAAAGGCUAAAGGAUUCAGUUGACGUCCAUAUAUGAGCUUUAAAUACAAUAAACUCCUAUUGUAUGGCAUGUGGCUAUAAGUUGAUAUUUGGUGAUAAUAAGUGUUUGAAUAAUGCUGUCACAUCCACACAAAUAUAGACCACUUACUAUAUUCAUUAUACCUAAAUAUGUAUUCGCACAAAAUGUAUUUUUGUUAUAAUGCAGAAUAAAGAUGUAUUUUAAAGGAAAUAGCAGUCGAUGUGCUGGAAUUAACAAAUUUACAUAAAUACCCUUGUGGAAGUUUUUAUUUUUAUUUGAAACUGAUCAUUCUUACAAUUUGCAAUUGGCUUCUUGUAUACUGUAUAUACAUUCUAGUCUUGCACGGCAACACAUAGUUUAUGUACGGUAUUGCUUUUUUGCAUUGAAUGGGAUCCCACAGUUCAUAUGGAGAACUGUUACCAUAAUAUAUGGUUAUGUUCUUGCGUAUGAUAAUACAUACAGGAGCUAAAUGCCAAUGUCUGAUAGCCAUGAGA